UACGUAGGGUGCGAGCGUUGUCCGGAAUUAUUGGGCGUAAAGAGCUCGUAGGCGGUUUGUCGCGUCUGCUGUGAAAUCUGGAGGCUCAACCUCCAGCCUGCAGUGGGUACGGGCAGACUAGAGUGCGGUAGGGGAGAUUGGAACUCCUGGUGUAGCGGUGGAAUGCGCAGAUAUCAGGAGGAACACCGGUGGCGAAGGCGGUUCUCUGGGCAGUGUCCUGACGCUGAGGAGCGAAAGUGUGGGGAGCGAACGGG
rnacentral:rRNA from 1 species